rfam:Lactobacillus hominis DSM 23910 = CRBIP 24.179, type strain:CRBIP 24.179, WGS project CAKE01000000 data, contig: 12
GUCGGUUAAGGUCCCGAAAGGAUUCACUUUUUUGUGAAGAUGCCUUGUAACCGAAGAGUAUUUUAGGGGGACUCUAUG